UCUCUCUCUCUCUCUCUUCCAGAUCUACAUGAACAAGCAUUUCUCUGCCUUCAGAUCAACAUGAACAUACAUGUAGUCCUCGAUCGACAUUUCUAACUCAACUUUCAGUUGCUAUAUAGUAAGAGACGAGUUAUCGCAAGAGGGUUAGACCUACAACAAGUCUAGGGAAUGGCACACCAACGGGUGUGUUAAAAAUUGACAAUGCAAAUGAGCUAUCAAAUUUUUGUUCCAGAAGAGUAUUUAGCUUACAGCCAUGUCAGAAGGCUUUACUGUAUUAAGUGUGCUAAAUGUGCUGAAGGAUGUGUCUGGCAGCAGUUCUUUGAAAACAAGCACUUCAAUAUAAGUUGUUCAAUUCCUUUAACGUAAACAAAUGGUAGAAGUGUGCAUAAUAUUACAAUGUUAAUGUACGGUAUAAAUAAUUAUU